rnacentral:miRNA from 1 species
CAUUACAAUUCUUGGGACAUUUGC